AGAGUUUGAUUCUGGCUCAGAACGAACGCUGGCGGCGUGCUUAACACAUGCAAGUCGAACGGAAUUAGGGGCUUGCUCCUAAUUUAGUGGCGCACGGGUGAGUAACGCGUGGAUAACCUACCCUGGUAUCUGGGAUAACAUCUCGAAAGGGGUGCUAAUACCGGAUAAGCCCACGGUCUCUUCGGGGAUUGCGGGAAAAGAUGGCCUCUAUUUAUAAGCUAUCGUAUUAGGAUGGGUCCGCGUACCAUUAGCUAGUUGGUGGUGUAAUGGACCACCAAGGCGACGAUGGUUAGCUGGUCUGAGAGGAUGAUCAGCCACACUGGAACUGAGACACGGUCCAGACUCCUACGGGAGGCAGCAGUGGGGAAUUUUGCGCAAUGGGGGAAACCCUGACGCAGCAACGCCGCGUGAGUGAUGAAGGCCUUCGGGUCGUAAAGCUCUGUCAGAGGGGAAGAAGUGAUAGUGUGCUAAUACCACAUUAUCUUGACGGUACCCUCAAAGGAAGCACCGGCUAACUCCGUGCCAGCAUCCGCGGUAAUACGGAGGGUGCAAGCGUUGUUCGGAUUUAUUGGGCGUAAAUCGCGUGUAGGCGGUCUUUUAAGUCUGAUGUGAAAGCCCCGGGCUCAACCCGGGAAGUGCAUUGGAAACUGGGAGACUUGAAUACGGGAGAGGGUAGUGGAAUUCCUAGUGUAGGAGUGAAAUCCGUAGAUAUUAGGAGGAACACCGGUGGCGAAGGCGGCUACCUGGACCGAUAUUGACGCUGAGACGCGAGAGCGUGGGGAGCAAACAGGAUUAGAUACCCUGGUAGUCCACGCCGUAAACGAUGAGUACUAGGUGUUGCGGGUAUUGACCCCUGCAGUGCCGCAGCUAACGCAUUAAGUACUCCGCCUGGGAAGUACGGUCGCAAGACUAAAACUCAAAUGAAUUGACGG
rnacentral:rRNA from 1 species